ensembl:lncRNA
CAACAAUAUUUCAUUAUACAUUUAAUUAUAGUCAUUGUCACAUGACCAGCAUUUUCGUUGCGUGUCGUCUUGUUUUCGUCACAUGAUAAAGGUUCGUUGACGAAGAUAUUUAGUCAUAAUUUUCGAUGACGAAAGCAACACUACCUGCACCCCAGCAGAGAUGGAGUGGAACUCCUGUCGGACAACGUAUGACUAAGAAAGAAUAUGUUCCUGAAAGGCAGAGAAAGCUGCAAGUAAGUGGGACACAAUGUUGCUGUGUAAAGAAGUGGCUGUAGGCUUUCUGGGGUCCCACCUUAUUUUGGACACCAGCGCUGAUGAUGGUGAUCCAUCAGCACAUGGUGAAACUACAGAAUCCCCAGAGACCUGCUGCUGCUGUGCUGGAGAACAUCAGAAAGGCCAGAAGCCACACCUUGGUUCUGUAGAGUGGGACUGAAAAUAGGAUUAGGCAUAACAAAGAGAAACAUGACACCGUCCUUAAAUAAAUAAACUUUUGAAAUAGAGGAGUGUUUGGUAUGAUUGUUUUUUUGCAAAAACAGAUUACUCAGUUUUUAAAAAAAAAAUCAAAAAUCAUGUUUUUUUAUUAUGCUAUCAUAUUUUUAUGAGGUGCGAAACAGGAAAUAAUUAUAUAAAAAUCUGUAUAUAUAUAAAUGUAAACUGUGAAUAUAUUGUUAUGUCUGAUUAUAUAGAAGUAAAUCUUAAUGUAUACAUAUAAGUCUGAAUAUAUAAAUGUAAAUCUGAAUAUAUAGUUAUAAGUCUGAAUAUAUAGAAGUAAAUUUUAAUAUAUAGUUAUAACUG